rnacentral:misc_RNA from 1 species
GAUGAAGAACGUAGCGAAAUGCGAUAAGUAGUGUGAAUUGCAGAAUUCAGUGAAUCAUCGAAUCUUUGAACGCACAUUGCGCCCCUUGGUAUUCCAUGGGGCAUGCCUGUUCGAGCGUCAUUUGUACCUUCAAGCUCUGCUUGGUGUUGGGUGUUUGUCUCGCCUCUGCGUGUAGACUCGCCUUAAAACAAUUGGCAGCCGGCGUAUUGAUUUCGGAGCGCAGUACAUCUCGCGCUUUGCACUCAUAACGACGACGUCCAAAAGUACAUUUUUACACUCUUGACCUCAGAUCAGGUAGGGAUACCCGCUGAACUUAAGCAUAUCAAUAAGCGGAGGA